rnacentral:rRNA from 1 species
GACGAACGCUGGCGGCGUGCUUAACACAUGCAAGUCGAACGAUGAAGCCGGAGCUUGCUCUGGUGAAUUAGUGGCGAACGGGUGAGUAACACGUGAGUAACCUGCCCUUGACUCUGGGAUAACUGCGGUAAACUGUAGCUAAUCCCGGAAACGACCCUCGGAGGCAUCUGCUGUGGGUGGAAAGACGUUAGGUCAAGGAUGGGUUCGCGGCCUAGCAGCUAGUUGGUGAGGUAAAGGCUUACCAAGGCGACGACGGGUAGACGGCCUGAGAGGGUGACCGGCCACACUGGGACUGAGACACGGCCCAGACUCCUACGGGAGGCAGCAGUGGGGAAUAUUGCACAAUGGGCGCAAGCCUGAUGCAGCAACGCCGCGUGAGGGAUGACGGCCUUCGGGUUGUAAACCUCUUUUAGCAGGGAAGAAGCGAAAGUGACGGUACCUGCAGAAAAAGCACCGGCUAACUACGUGCCAGCCGCCGCAGUAA